GUCAAGGUGGAUUCUGGUCCAGAGAGAGGCGGUCCCUUGAUGCUGAAAGAUGGGAUGUUGGUGGAGAGAGAUGGGAUUUAGACAAUUAUAGACAAGAAGGAGGUGGUGAAAAAAGGGGUCUGGGGGGUUGGCGUGGAUGUGGGAUUGAUGGGCAAGGCACAGAUGAUUCAGACUGGGAAUUAGAUAAAAAUACCCAAGACACUGGUGAUAAAGAGGCAGAUUCAGACACAAAACAGAAAACACUUAAGCCUGAGCAGGGUCUUGGUGAAGAUCAUAGCAGUCCAGUCUCUAGCAAUGAUAAAGUGGAAAAAUCUAAAAAACAUGUUGUUGCUAGCCAAUGCAUUGAUAAGGGCUGGACUCAUGGUCCAGGUGAAGGUCAGGUUUCAAGUGUAGAUAGACGGAACCGUGGAUUUUCCCAAAGAAUAGAGGCUCUUUUUAUAGCCCCACCCGGGCAUGGCUCAGAGGAGAGACUUGCCCGCAUGAGGGAGGUGGACACUGUCUCACGAAUGAGACGCCUUAGCCUCCGUAGCUCAGACUCUUGGGAUGGACUGCAUGGGGUGGGAAGGUGGGGAGAUUAUGGAUGGGAGAAAGAAUGCCCCCUUCCUGGCCCUCAGGAUUCUUCAAACAUCACAAAGGUAGAGGAUAAAGAGGGCAGCGCCCAUCCUGCAGUCACCAGUGAACCUAAAGAAACAAAAGACGACCAGGCAACCCUAAAAGAGUCACAGGAGCCCAGCCAGGUGGAGAGGUCGUAGCUGAACCCUAGAGGUCAGAGGUCAUCUAACUAAGGGCCAGCCUCCAGCACUGUGACCUGGCUGUCUGUUAAAUGCCUUCAUCCUCAUAUGCUAUUGAAACAUCCUCAGACAUUGACACACAUAUAUACACAACAUUAGACACAAACACACUAAGCGAUGCAUCUCUCUUUAAUACACAAGACACACACAAAUUGACACACAAACACACAAAGUCAUUGUCAUGUAUGCAGACGCUCACAUGCAUUCAGAACACAUUUAAACACCUAACCACACUGAGACAUCUGAAAUGGCCUUCUACUCCGACAAGAGCAUUGUGUAUCAACUCUACUCCACACCCACUCAGUUCCAGCUCUGCUGGCUUUCUAAGUGUUGCUGUUCCACUGCCAGAAGGAGGUUCCCAAUAAUGCCCCACCCACUUCAUAUAUUACAGUUCUCAUCAUGCCCCAUUUGUCUUAAUUUCGUGCCCUUGUCAUACAUCGUUCCCCUGCAAUUUCUGUAAAAGUUGGUUUAUUGGACUUUAUCUGGUGCGUUACUCAGCAAAACAUUGAAAAUAUUGUUGUGUGACCAAGAAACAAACAAACAAACAAAAAACUUUACUGUCUUUUGUAAAAAAAAAUUUUUUUUAAACUGACUGUUUAAAAAGUAUUACAGAACAAUCGAUGAAGUUUAAAACCAGCUACAAUCUCUUGUACUGUCCUAUCCCUUGCAAACAACCUAUCAUCCUAACAACUGUCUUUCCUCAAACCAUUUUCUUCCUCACAUCUUUGCAUGUUCCUUCCCUCAAUCAAUUUUUUCAAAGACCUCAGUCUUCUCACUAACCCUUCAUUACACUAACCUUGUGUACAUCUCAUGAAUUUCACAUUUGUCUAGACCGUGUUAUCUCUGCCCACCAAUGGUUUGCUAAUAACUGGCAAUAUAGCUAUUUGUGUAAGUCCUCAUCACGCUUACAAUAUCAUCCCAUCAGUAUUAACAAAGUCUUGUCCCUAUAUUCAAGGUCUUGUGCUACACUUCUUAAUUACAAUGAUCACAAAUGAUUUACAUUGUCUUUGCACCUUAACCACUCUUUAUUUCUUGAGUUAAUAAUGUCUCCCAACUCACUGAUAUCAUCCCCACACUA
ensembl:lncRNA